rnacentral:rRNA from 1 species
AACGCUGGCGGCGUGCCUAAUACAUGCAAGUCGAACGGUCUUUCUAUGGAAGCUUGCUUCCACUGAGAAGAUAGUGGCGAACGGGUGAGUAACACGUGGGUAACCUGCCCAUAAGAGGGGGGAUAACAUCCGGGAACGGGUGCUAAUACCGCAUAGUUUUCUUGAUCGCAUGAUCGGGAAAGGAAAGACGGCCUUUGUGCUGUCGCUUAUGGAUGGACCCGCGGCGUAUUAGUUAGUUGGUGAGGUAACGGCUCACCAAGACGAUGAUACGUAGCCGACCUGAGAGGGUGAUCGGCCACAUUGGGACUGAGACACGGCCCAAACUCCUACGGGAGGCAGCAGUAGGGAAUCUUCCGCAAUGGACGAAAGUCUGACGGAGCAACGCCGCGUGAGUGAAAGAAGGUUUUCGGAUCGUAAAACUCUGUUGUCAGAGAAGAACAAGUUGGAGAGUAACUGCUCCAGCCUUGACGGUAUCUGACCAGAAAGCCACGGCUAACUACGUGCCAGCCGCCGC